UGGGAUGUGGUCUAACGGCAAGACACCGGACUGUUAAUCCGGAUGAUGGUGGUUCAAAUCCACCCGUCCCAG
rnacentral:tRNA from 1 species